AAUGAAGGUCUUCGGAUCGUAAACUUCUGUCAUUUGAGAACAAGUGUCGAAGCAAUAACUGGCUCCGAUUUGAUAGUACCAAAAGAGGAAGAGACGGCUAACUCUGUGCCAGCAGCCGCGGUAAUACAGGGGUCUCAAGCGUUGUUCGGAUUCAUUGGGCGUAAAGGGUGCGUAGGCGGCGCCGUAAGUCGGAUGUGAAAUCCCGAAGCUCAACUUCGGAACUGCAUUCGAUACUGCGGUGCUGGAGGACUGGAGAGGAGAUCGGAAUUCAUGGUGUAGCAGUGAAAUGCGUAGAUAUCAUGAGGAAGACCAGUGGCGAAGGCGGAUCUCUGGACAGUUCCUGACGCUGAGGCACGAAGGCUAGGGUAGCGAACGGGAUUAGAUACCCCGGUAGUCCUAGCAGUAAACGGUGCACGUUUGGUGUGGGAGGAUUCGACCCCUUCCGUGCCGGAGCUAACGCGUUAAACGUGCCGCCUGGGGAGUACGAUCGCAAGAUUA
rnacentral:rRNA from 1 species